CAGUUCGGAUUGUAGGCUGAAACUCGCCUACAUGAAGCUGGAGUUACUAGUAAUCGCAGAUCAGAAUGCUGCGGUGAAUGCGUUCCCGGGUCUUGUACACACCGCCCGUCACACCACGGAAGUUGGGGCGCCCGAAGCCACUUAGCUAACCCUUUGGGAAGCGAGUGUCGAAGGUGAAAUCAAUAACUGGGGUGAAGUCGUAACAAGGUACC
rnacentral:rRNA from 1 species